rfam:Cavia porcellus supercont2_10 genomic scaffold, whole genome shotgun sequence.
GGAUGUGAGGGCAAUCUGUCUGUGACAUGUGUCACCCCACUGAUGGCCAGGGUUGCUUUGGCUGAUCUGGGUGGGGAGGUGGGUAUUCCCUUCCUCCCUCACUGUUCUGUGUGCGUCCCUCCCAAAGCUACACACUCUUUCAAAGAGGACGACACUCCCGAUAGAGAAGGACCAUGUCCUUGAUCAAGAGUGUAUGAGCAGCUGUGCUCCCCUACUAGAACCUCCAAAUAAGCUCUCAAGAGUUUUGCCUAUUUUAUUUUCCAGCAGAUUGUUUCUAUUUUUAACAUUUAGGUCUUUUGGUUUUAGUUUAGUAUGUGGUGAGAUAUCUGGGUCUAGA